GAUGAACGAUGGCGGCGUGCCUAAUACAUGCAAGUCGAGCGAACAGACGAGGUGCUUGCUCCUCUGACGUUAGCGGCGGACGGGUGAGUAACACGUGGAUAACCUACCUAUAAGACUGGGAUAACUUCGGGAAACCGGAGCUAAUACCGGAUAAUAUAUUGAACCGCAUGGUUCAAUAGUGAAAGACGGUUUUGCUGUCACUUAUAGAUGGAUCCGCGCCGCAUUAGCUAGUUGGUAAGGUAACGGCUUACCAAGGCAACGAUGCGUAGCCGACCUGAGAGGGUGAUCGGCCACACUGGAACUGAGACACGGUCCAGACUCCUACGGGAGGCAGCAGUAGGGAAUCUUCCGCAAUGGGCGAAAGCCUGACGGAGCAACGCCGCGUGAGUGAUGAAGGUCUUCGGAUCGUAAAACUCUGUUAUUAGGGAAGAACAAAUGUGUAAGUAACUAUGCACGUCUUGACGGUACCUAAUCAGAAAGCCACGGCUAACUACGUG
rnacentral:rRNA from 1 species